GUCCACUCAGUCCUAAUUAAGAUCUUCUUCUACUGGUCUUUCUUACCUUGAAGUACAGCGGGAUCCCCAUUCUAUCUGUCCAAACACAUGUCCGAGCUUAAGUCAGAUCCCCGAGCAACAAAAGCGGACUCUGCUGCCGUCAAAGGCUCAGCCGAUCCUGCCUCCCAACCAUCAUCCGCUAGCGAAGCAAAAACCAAGACUGAUACACUUCCAGGCUUCGCGGGCCAAAAACAAGCCGUUGUCCGAAAAAUCAAUCAAUCAAGGAAAAAAAGAGAGGCACUCAAGGCAAAGAGAAAGUGUGUCCCCAAACAGUCCCUCUCCAAAAAAUUCGUCAAAAACGUGAUCGGAACCACCAAUCGACGAUAUAUCAUAGACGGUGGCAAGCCAGUAGAAAAUGAAAUCUUUAUGCUCAGCAACUUGGUAGCAUUUUUGCACAAGAAAAUCAAAAUCAAUGGAAAAACCGGUAAGGUCAAGAAACACAUCCAGACAACGACCGAAAACAACAAGAUCAUCAUGGUGACUAAAGUUCAGUUUUCUAAGCGCUACUUUAAGUACCUGAUCAAAAAAUUCCUUAAAAAAUUCUUUUUAAGAGAUUGGCUCAAACUUGUCGCAUCUAGCAGAAACGCAUACGAAAUCCGAUAUUUCAACAUUCGAGAUGUUGAGGAACUCGAAGAAUAACACGGUCCAAUAAAAAGCAGAGACAGUGAAGUGCUCCGCGUUUUUUUUUGACAAUUUUUUUUUUGAAUGGGGUCUUUUUCACCGAAGUACGUACAUAGAUGACACAUUGGAGAAUCUAGCAGUGUAAUCACCACUACCCAGCUCGCUCGGGCUCCAAAAGUAUUGACAUGAUCCCCUUUCCUGCCCAUCAAUUCAAAUGUAAUAACUUCCGUGUGCAUAAAAACACACGUACUCGAGGGCUUGUCGGACGACGCUCGGUCCACGCCGACCGCUCUAAGCGAAAUGGCUCGAGCAGCUCGGCCCAAACCUUCCUCAACACAAGACCAACCGUACAACCCGAAACAAUAAAAACAACGCAACAGUGGACAUUCCGAAAAAGUCAAGAUCAGCGCAGAUAUGGCUCAGGCAGAAACCUCAAUAAACAACCUUCAAAUUCUAAGACCUUGAAAAAGGUACAGAGCUUGAUGCAUCUAGCUAGAAAACUAUCCACCACAAACAGACUGUUGGCGGCUUCGCUCCUAGCAGCUCUUGGAGUGAUUAGCACAACGAACCAGAAUGUAGGAUAUUCCCGUAAGACCCUAGAAUGUCUGUAUUCAGAAUCGCUAGAUAACGCUGACAUACAAGAAAUUUACACCGCUCUAAUGCACAUCGCAGAUGUGUCUGUCAGAAACCGCUUUACGAAGAAGCACAUGAUUCAGACACCUAUUUACAUCAAACUGUGUCAGCUACUAUAUCAUUCAGAUCCCCUUGUUCGACUCCUCAGUCUGCGUGCCAUAACUGGACUAGCCGAACACAAUGCAUUUGUUCUGAAAUAUUUCACGCAAACACAAAACUUUGACAAGCUCGACCAACUGUUUCUUCCUGAAACAACGACCCAUAUACAAAGAAUGAUCGAAACCUCUCGAACGAAUGACUUGCAUGUUCGGACAAUCUACGAACGUUCGGUAGAUAAAGAUUUACAUGCACUGGCUGUGCCCUACCUUGACGAGCUGCUUGUUUUGGCAUUUGACCGUUUUGUGUCCGUUUUGGCACAAAACGAAAACACACAUUCUCAACUGCUUCAAUCACCCAAUUUGACACACUACGUUCAACUGAUAAACAGCCCUGACCCCGGAGUAUGUCGCACUGGCAUCAGUUUCGUAUCCGGACUGACAAAAUCCGUAGAGGGCAGAAAGUGGCUGGCGGAAAAAACAGAUGUGUUUCCACACCUUUGCGAUCUUACCUUUGGAUCUAGAUCCCACAUGUAUAGUGGUGAUUCACGUAUCAUAAGACAGGGUAAAUUCGCACUACAGCAAUUGCUCUUGUCGGAGUCUGCUAUGCGUUUUUUGCGGGCCAAGUACGAGACGUUCUUACUCAACCAGUUGCCAAUGUACGCGAAAAAGGAACUCCUCGUGGAAUUCGACAUAAAAGAACAAGAGUACGUGGAUUACGCUAAGGAAGUUGGAAGAGUUUUGAUGUCGGGAUACGGGACUGGUUUUGCCUGGGGAGCACUUAGGUCUGCCUUCAGAUUGACACCCUCGGUAGAACCGGGGUCACUGAGAGUUAUGCGGAGCUCGACAAAGCAUGUGAUAGCCAGAGGAUUGAAUACUGCGACCGGCACAGUGUUAAUAUUGAUGAUGUACCACGCAUUUAAAUUGGUCGAUGAAAAAAUUCUGUGUCACGAACGCGACACGUACAGAAAAUAUUACGCACAGCUGGCGCUAACUACAGGAACUGGAACAGGCUUAUUGUUCGUGUUGACAAGGAGUUUCAGAUACACCUUGACACCAGCAAUUCUUGUGGCUGGUGCACAGAGCGCCUGGCAAAUGACAAAGUCGAGAAACGCGACAUAGGUCAAGAGUGUCUGGCGCCGAAGAAGUGCGAGACAGGCACGAAAAUCCGUCGAAUUGGGGUUUUCUUCUAGCCUGACGGUUUGGCGCUACCGCCGCCAACGUGGCAUUGUCAACGACUCUGACAAUUGUCGGCAGAACCAUACUCGUGUAUGAUCAUUCUCCGUGAGAGUUGUACACGAUGUCGCCUGGAGAAAACGAGGUGUGUGCAAGCCUUUGACAAAAAGGGGUGCAUGGUCUCUCAGAGCCUCUUCCUCCUCCAGGCUCUGAAAAAAGACAAAUUGCUUUUAUUAAGCAGGGUCUGGUACAUAAUGACCUAUUAUAUGGACCUUCUGCUCCAGGGAGCUGCCGUCACACACGCCCCCUUCUUGAGCGCCUCGAGUUGGACUGUACUGAUUGGGGAUCGAAUUUGCUGUAUCAAGGGGUAAUCGUUAGCGCUGACGCAGUAGCGUGCUAGAUUUACUUAAGUGGACUCUGUUUCUCGUACAAGUCUUUAAUUUGGCUCGAGUCAAAAUCAGAUGAAAGUGAAUCGAGGUUGUUGUGGUGCAAUUGUCUGUAUAGUGCGGUACGCAUUGCUGUCAGUGAAAGCACGCCAGAAAAUAAACGCACAAUCUGUGACACGUACAGAAUUUCUAGAUACGGUAAUUUAGCAAUGCCAGAGGGCACGCCACCUGUGAAUUUGUUGUACGACAAGUCUCUGCAUUGAGUGAGUGGGUCAGUACUCUCUAGUGUUUGCGUGUGAUGCGAACCGCACGUAUCUUCGAGCGUACAAUCUGUAAAGAUGAGACGCGUCGGUCAGACUGUUGGGUAAGGACCCACUUAGGGAGUUGUUGUUCAAGACCCUGAAAGAGUGGGGAAUUGGUCGGUUAGUAGACUCGUACACUUGGCCCCGUGUCUGAAUUCAGAAAAGGUGAAGAAGGGCGUACAAAUUGGUGAUAGCUUUGUAGUUCAGAGUCUGUUCACCUAGGUUUCCUUCUAGGUUGUUGGAGGACAGGUUGCUUCCAGAGAGGCGUUUUGUCAGUCUCAUUUGGUCGAAGCUUCAAGUUCGUAAGGUGUGUGUACAUACAUGGUUUUAAGGUAGGGGACGUUUAUAGACUCUGGGAAUGUUCCAGAAAUAUUACAGUUGCUCAUAUCUCUACA